UGUUGCUGUGCUUCUUGACAAUGAGGCCAUCUAUGAUAUCUGUAGGCGUUCCCUUGACAUUGAGCGACCCACCUACACCAAUCUUAACAGGCUUGUCUCUCAGGUGAUUUCGUCCUUGACUGCCUCUCUGAGGUUUGAUGGUGCUCUGAAUGUUGAUGUGACAGAAUUCCAGACCAACUUGGUCCCCUAUCCAAGAAUCCACUUCAUGCUUUCUUCCUAUGCGCCAGUUAUCUCUGCUGAGAAAGCUUACCAUGAGCAACUUUCAGUUGCAGAAAUCACCAACAGUGCUUUUGAGCCCUCUUCUAUGAUGGCCAAGUGUGAUCCUCGUCAUGGCAAGUACAUGGCCUGCUGCCUGAUGUAUCGUGGUGAUGUUGUGCCUAAGGAUGUGAAUGCAGCAGUUGCCACGAUCAAGACCAAGCGCACCAUUCAGUUUGUUGACUGGUGCCCAACUGGAUUCAAGUGCGGUAUCAACUACCAGCCACCCACUGUUGUUCCAGGUGGUGACCUUGCCAAGGUGCAGAGAGCUGUCUGCAUGAUCUCCAACUCAACCAGCGUUGCUGAGGUGUUUUCACGAAUUGACCACAAGUUUGACCUCAUGUAUGCCAAGCGUGCUUUUGUCCACUGGUAUGUUGGUGAAGGUAUGGAGGAAGGAGAGUUCUCCGAGGCCCGUGAGGAUCUUGCUGCCCUGGAGAAGGAUUAUGAGGAGGUUGGUGCCGAAUCUGCCGAAGGGGAGGAUGGUGACGAAGGAGAUGAGUAUUGAAAUAUUGAUUGAAGGAUGCUCUUUUUGUGUGAUAAUAUAUGGCUGCCGUUGUUGUUAUGGUUUGCUUGUCAGUUAGAAUGCUAUGAAUGUCUGUGCUCAAACUACCAUUUGCUACUGAAAAAACAAAAUUAAAGGGUGGAAUUGAGAAUUAAAUUGCUGGUAUAUUUUUCAAUUAUCAUCAUUUCCAUUUGCUCUACUGGCUAACCUCCUCUCCUGUCUUUUUUAUUUUUUGAGAAUAAAGAAAGAAUGAAAUUCCAUACUCUUACCAAAUACUCUGCAACACAGAAAAAAGCCCCAAGGGGGCCGGGAGAGGGCUUCACUAUAUAGAAUCAAAGUGAUUUUACAAGUCUGCCAGAGUACAAAUUUAGCAGACCCUUAGUCCCUACAACUGGACUGUAUAGGCAAAUUUGGAUCUGUCUUGAAAAUAUUAUCUGUAUCUAUACUCCAAUUCAAAAUGGGUGAUUGAGAUUUUUUUUAAGUUAAAUUUAAAUUCUAAAAGGCCAAAAGCCUAAAUAUUUUCAA
rnacentral:misc_RNA from 1 species